GAUGAAGAACGCAGCGAAAUGCGAUACGUAAUGUGAAUUGCAAAUUCAGUGAAUCAUCGAGUCUUUGAACGCACAUUGCGCCCCCUGGUAUUCCGGGGGGCAUGCCUGUCCGAGCGUCAUUGCUGCCCUCAAGCACGGCUUGUGUGUUGGGCCCCGUCCUCCGAUCCCGGGGGACGGGCCCGAAAGGCAGCGGCGGCACCGCGUCCGGUCCUCGAGCGAAUGGGGCUUUGUCACCCGCUCUGUAGGCCCGGCCGGCGCUUGCCGAUCAACCCAAAUUUUUAUCCAGGUUGACCUCGGAUCAGGUAGGGAUACCCGCUGAACUUAAGCAUAUCAAUAAGCGGAGGA
rnacentral:misc_RNA from 1 species